rnacentral:lncRNA from 1 species
CAGUCAAUGAGCCACAACCCAAGGGUGCCUGAGUUUCCUCAGCUUCUGCCAGCGACCCCAGAACACGCUUUCUCCAACUAACAAAACGUUAAAGGACCAUUAAUGUUAAAAAGUAGCAGGAACGCUUUAAAAGGCCAGCAAUCCCGACCCAUCAUGCUGUCUACUCCCACCAACAGGCAGGGUGACAGGCUCAGCAGGGAUUCUGGCUGCUCAGAGCUGGCUCUGUGUAUCAUAAAUAAUUUAAACACACACAUGCACACACGCACGCACGCACACACCGGCUUCUAUCUAAUGCCAAAAAUGCAGAAAUUAACACCAUAUUGUCAGCUUCUUUGAGAUCCACAAUACACAGGAGAGGACGCGCAGACAACAGCCCCACCGCCUGUUACAUCUUUUUUCCCGUAGGCCAGUUCCUUGGAGGAAAGAGACAGGAAGGCGUUCCUCGUCCUCUCAGACAGCUGUACCCCACAAGGUCAGCAGCAACUAGCCCACAUCAACCAGGGCCUCACCUACACGUCAGAGACCUUCCACACCCUCACCCAGAGCAAGCUGAGCCCUGCGAUGCCUGAAGCAACGCCUGCUCUCCUGACACUGGCAGGCCACCACAUGGACGCUGAGUAAUCCCGGGUUGCUAUCUGAUAACGGAGGGUCAGAGGAUAGAGGCCUCAAACAGCUUUACCACAGUGGGGCCUGCUUGCCUCUCAAGCUCCCUAUGGGGUUCCAAGGAGGACUGACCAGCCACCUCACAAAGACCCCAGUGGAUGGUCAGGUCUGAUGUGACACUCACUCGUGUGAAAUCUUCCUCUGCCCUCCCUGGGCUCCAGUGCAGAGGGUGAAAGAGCCGCACUUAGAGGGAUUUAAGUUAGCAGACAAGCGGCAGUAGCAACACCACCAGUGUGAGUCAACCGGGAGCCACCAGAGGGCAGCAUGCCAGGUGGGCGGAGCAUGGGCCUAUGGUCCAGAUGGAUCCUUAGACAAUGAAUGACUUCUUCCCAUGGCCAUUACCUUCACUGCCAGUGUGUCACCUCUCGUGGUCCUCAAAUCCACUGAGGCCAGCACCUCAGAGCCUUAUAAGAGGACCCAGCACUUCCCACUCCGGAUGGCUGAGACAACAGGGAUUUGUCAAAAACCCAUCAGUUAGCAGGGGCCUGAGCUGAGUCAAAUUUUGGGGGAAGCUGUGCCUGGGAGGAGGGUGAGGCUGAGACCACAUGGGGCCAGCAGCUGCCCCCAGAGAAACCGAGGGCAGAAGCCUUGGCACCCUCCAAAAAUUAUUUCAAGGAAGCCACCAAUGCUAGAGAGGUACAAGGGACAAUGACCCGGUGUCACCAACAGUCUGUUGGGUCCUGUUUGUGCGGAGCGGCUACUGAUCUAGGAUGAUCCAUCCUCCUCCUACCUGGCAGACCAUUGGAACUUGCUGACCAUAAGGAACUGCGGGGCUUUCUACUGCCCACCCGAGAGGAGCCUGCCUCACAGACACAGCCAGGGCAGGCUGGACCCAAGGACGACCCUUGCUACUCCAGGGAAGGACCCUGAGGGACCAUGAGUCUCAGGAAAGAGGGACCAGGAGGUUCGGGGGAUGAGCGGGCUGCUCUAGUCCUAGCUCACCAUGCUCAGAGGCCAUGGCUUGUAAACUGGCCGGUGUCAAGCAAAUUACAAGGGUACAGCAGCAGUCUACACCCUCGCCUGUGGACUAGGAGCCAGGGGGAAGCAAUGACAAGACUGGGUGCCUAGAGCUGGCAGGAAGCUAUGGGGCUAUGACAGGGUCUCAGGCCAGAAGCGGUGGCAGUGGUGAGCCAGUACAGGCCACCUGGGGAGCACCGAGACUGGGGGAGCGGGAUGGCUAAGACAGCGAGCGGAGGGGAUGAGCAUGAACUCAAAGCUGUGCUAAGAGGGUGGGAGUGGGAUGGCUAAGACAAGUUGUUGCCAGCUUCAGGGGGCGGGGCCGAGCCCGGCCCAUCUGCCACCUGUCCUCCCCCCUGCAGUCACUGCUGCUUCUCUGACCUUCGGGGCCGGAACCUCCGUGGGCCUGUCGAUUUCCUCGUAGCCACAGCUGCGGUGAAGCCCACCAGGCAGCACAGGGACGUGGUACUGAACUUGAGUGUGUCUAGCCAGCCGGGUGAGGCAGCCUGUAGAUAAUGCUCUGCCAGGUGCAGCCCCAGCAGCAGGGCCCAGAGGCAGGUGGAGAAGGCAUCGAUCCGCCGGAGCCUGUGGGAGAGAGCAAGACAUGUGUGAGGUGACUGGGCC